rnacentral:lncRNA from 7 species
CCGGCCCGGCCCGGCCGCACCGCUCCGCAGCCCCACCGCGGGGUGAGCUUUCCCUUUUCUUUCUUUUUUUUUUUUGUCUCUUUUUCUCCCCCCCCCCCCAUCCCUCUCCCGGAGCCGAAGAACCGCAGUGCGGGUGCCUUUUCUCUUGGUUAGAGGGAAUAUGAAGGGCAAAAAGAUUUCCAAAGAAGGAGGGUCUGGUAAUUCUCAACAGUGCAAAUUAGUUCUCAGCAUCUUCAAGAUGGAAAAAACACAGCUUUGUUCUUGUUCUGAUGGUGCUAACAGAAUACUUGCAAGCUACCUAUAUAAAAUGCCACAGAAUAUGCAAUGUGUCAAAAUACAUCUGGGUUUGUUAGCAUCAGCAAGGAAAGAAAACCUGUAAUAAACCAUCAAACGAGACCU